UUGCUUCGGCAGCACAUAUACUAAGAUUGGAGCAAAUCAGAGACAUUUAGCAUGACCCCUGUGCAAGGAUGACUUGCAAAUUUGUGAAAUGUUCCAUAUUAAA